CCGCGCGGCAGAGGGCAGCAGCUUGCGGCGGCAGUUAGUGGCAGUUGCGGAAAGCGCUUUGUUGGUCGCCGUUUUUAUUCGUCUCCAAUUAUAUUCAGUCACAAGUGCCGUUUAAUUUUCACAUCUUACGAGCUCAUGAAGCGAAUAAAGUGAAAUUGGAGCAUUCACGGAGAGAGCCAAGGCGAUAUUUGCGGCUUCGGAAGUAAUAUUUCCACAACAUGGAGUAACUUUGGAUGAGCAUUUCAACGCGGAUGAAUUCAACUCCAAUUUCAUUUCGAUCGGCUAUGGACACUAUUUGGAAGAACGCGCCGAUUAAGAUACAUAGCAGGGAGAGUGUGAAGUCAAUUGACGACAUAUUUGCUGCUGGAGGACGGAAUUAUCUAGCGAGAGGUCUGUCAAUGAUGAUGACAAUGAUGAAAUUGGCCAUGUCCUUUCAGAUAAUACUUCUUCUAAUGCUUCAGGUGACUUUAUCUUGAUUCCAUUGAGUAUUCUGUAGCUGGUUUUCCAAUGAUCCCUCAAAUUGGCUCUCAUAAUUUCGUAUCGACCACACUAUUGAUUUCAUUAUUAAUUUUUUAUUGUACACAUUUUUUUUUAAUUAUGAAAGUAUCUUAUUUAUGUUCUUACCAAUAAAUCGUUGGUCAGAAAAUA